rnacentral:lncRNA from 1 species
AUUUUUAUUUUAAUUCUAGUUGUUUGUAGAUGUUGCUUUACACCUCAAAAGUCUGGUUACAUUUUAACUGAACCAAUUAGAUCAUUCAGUUUAUGAGCUGACAUUCAGCAAGUGUUUAUUGGGAGGGGAAGUAUACUCCACUCUAAAAUUGGAAAUAGCAUGUUGAAUAAGAAAAUAAUCCUAUUAAUCUUGGCUACUAUCUCAGGAAGAAAUACUUUCUCAAAACCUCAUAAUCCAUACAAAAAGGAAUCUAACUUGUUUGAUCUUAACAACAAAUAUACCAGGACAGUAUGUAGUGUAAAUGCAAAGAUAAAUAAAAUUAAUAUUAAAAAAAACAAAACCUAACCAGUCUAUUUUCAUCAUGAGGGAGAAAAAAAAAAAAACCCUAACAAAGUCUCUGUUGGAACGCUCAGCGAUUUCCACUCCUAAGGACCACAAACCGAAAUUCUUUUAUUGAAUAAUUUCUCCCUACAGCGGCCUUGUCUCCCCCAUAGCACGCUUCCAAAAUUAUCAGUACUCUGCCAGGACAUAGUCGCUUGAGACCACUAAUGAGACCCUACAGAACCGCAAUCCAAAAUGCCAGUCAUGAUUCCUGUAAGGUCCAGCGAAAUCCCAAACUGUAGUCGCAGGCCACGGAAACAGUCUCUGCAUAGGACUCCAAGAAGAGGAUGUCCUCCUGAUCGCGAUCCGUCACGACCUCCCUGGACACCACAUGACCUUUCUACGAAGGCAGUUCUUAAAACUUAGCCACGGAGCUCUCCCCUCUCUCGGAAGUUAAAAGGGAGGCAGGGCGGGCCACCCCGGAUCAAGGGCUCGUCUUGCGCUACUCCCCUUACCGUGAGCAGAUCAGAGAGGGAAGAAAGGAAAAGUGGCCUCCAAGGACGGGUUUGGGGAAGAAGGGAGGGGCAGCUCCGUGUGGUGGUAACCAUUUGUGAACACGUAGGGUGGUGGCUCGCGGGCCGGAAAGAACCAACUAGGGGAGCCCGACGUGCCCGCCGCCAGGACGGCCCGCCAGGGAGGCGCA